rnacentral:lncRNA from 1 species
UUGAUUUCAUUUCAGAUUCUAACUCCCAAGUCAUUUCCUCAACAUCGUGGUUUCUCCACAAAACUUUGACUUGAGGUAUAACCUUGGAGCGUAGAAUAUGUUCCUUCUUAUCCAAGAUUUGAACAUGAACCUCUUCAUACGUCAAAUCUUCCGCUAUUUCGUCCGGUUCUAACUCAAUAAUGUGGUUCGGGUCUUCCACAUAUUUACGUAACAUGGAUAUGUGAAAAACGUUAUGAACACGAGACAUACUUGGCGGUAAAGCGAGUCUAUAGGCCACAGUUCCUACUCGAUCGAGGAUUAAAAAUGGGCCGAUGAAUCGAGGAUUGAGCUUUCCUCUCUUUCCAAAUCUCGUAACUCCUUUCCAUGGAGCAACACGUAACAACACAUGAUCUCCUAUAUCAAAUUCCACGUCCUUUCGAUGAA